rnacentral:tRNA from 1 species
GGGCGAUUAGCUCAGCUGGCUAGAGCGCCACGUUGACAUCGUGGAGGUCACAAGUUCAAGUCUUGUAUCGCCCACCA